AAGGCAAUGUAAGGAGGAUUUAUUUUGUGCUUGUUUUUAUAGUUUAUAAAAUGUGUUGUCCUUGUUAUUCUAAUUUUACUCACAGUUCAUUGACUUCAAAGCCAACUAGUCAUCCUCAACAUAAUGGAAGAUAAAAGAUGAUGAUAAUAGGAAUGUUUUGCAGGUUACUGGGUUUUAAAGUGCUGUACAGGUGUGAACAGGAGAAACCCUUGGCUCAGCUACUGUCUUUAUCUCAUUAACUACUCUUGAGUCUUAUCAAUUUACGUGUGCAUUUGAUGAAUGUCCAAUUGUCUGACAAGGUGCCACAUAUUUUCAAAUAUGCUCCUUAAUUUCAAAUAUACUACAUUCUAGUUGAAAUGAAUAAAUUCACGGAAAUACAAAAUUGUAAGCUCAAGAAAUAUGUUCUACAAAAUUGUAAGCUCAAGAAAAUCUAUGUUCUACAAAGAUAAACUCUCAUCUAAAACUUAAAAAAAGAUGGUCUGGUGAGUGAAAAGCCUCCAAGAGUCGAGCCCAAUUCUUGUGCUACUACCUGUGUAGCAAAUAAGUGAAAUUCCGUGGUAGAUUCCUUCCCUAUAAAGUAUAACCCUUGAAUAAUGAAGUGUCAAAUAAUAAAGUGUGAUGUUUAAAUGAGAUGAUAUAUAGGUACAUGCUUUGUACUCUAGAAUGGCGUACAAAUGGUCUGAUUUAAAAGGAGUUUUAUACCUACUUGUAAUUUCAUAAAAUCUAUCUAUUGGCCUACUGAUCUAUCUGUCUUUCUAUCUACCUCUAUUAGGAAAAAGUAUGAUCAGAAAUAAUAUACACCAACUAUUGGAAAGUGAUUACCACUAGAAAUCGAAAGAGUAGAUACAAUGAUAAUCAAUGAGACUUUAGUUAAACUUUUAAUGUUUUAUUAUUUAUUUAAGAUUCUGUUAUUGAUUAUUUAACAUUAUAUUUCUUCCUGAAGCUAAUAUAUGGCAUAUGGUUCAAAUGUGAAAGCCAG
rnacentral:lncRNA from 1 species